GAGGAAUAUUGGUCAAUGGACGAGAGUCUGAACCAGCCAUCCCGCGUGCAGGAUGACGGCCCUAUGGGUUGUAAACUGCUUUUCUAUACCAAGAAUAGUUCCGACGUGUCGGGAUUUGCCGGUAGUAUAGGAA
rnacentral:rRNA from 1 species